rnacentral:Y_RNA from 1 species
GGCUGGUCUGAUGGUACUGGGUUAUUAGAACUUAUUAACAUUAGUGUCACUAAAGUUGGUAUACAACCCCCCACUGCUAAACUUGACUGAUUUUUA